rnacentral:rRNA from 1 species
AUAUUCUGAUUGGCGCCGCCUGGUUUCGCGACUAGGCGGAUUGCCGAAAAGUUUCUUAAACUUGAUCAUUUAGAGGAAGUAAAAGUCGUAACAAGGUUUCUGUAGGUGAACCUGCAGAAGGAUCAUUACCGUAUCCGACGUCGACUUAACCGUCGAUGUUCGCGAAACACCACCGUGAACCUAUUCGGGCGUGCGGGGUGGAGUGUCCUUCAUCGGACACUCCUUAAUUGGAGCGCCGUCGACCGUUCGCGCGGCCCGUCGUCGCUGCUGCCCCGCACGCGUACUUUCCUUUAUAUUUUUACACAAACAUUCCUCUCUGUUCCUGUUUCCGUUGGGUGCGCGUGCGCGCGUACCCUCUGGAGAAUCGAGCAAACUUGACAACUUCUAACGGUGGAUCUCUUGGCUCGUGCAUCGAUGAAGAACGUAGCCAGUUGCGAUAAGUAGUGUGAAUUGCAGAAUUCCGUGAAUCAUCGAAUCUUUGAACGCAAAUUGCGCUCUUUGGAUCUCCAGAGAGCACGUCUGUCCGAGUGUCGUUUGGUAACCAGCGCACCUCGCGUGCGAAGUUGGGGGUUCGCGUCGGUCCCGCGUUUCCGCGCGGCGACGGACUCGUCCCUCGAACUCGCGCUGAACCGAUCGCGCGUACGAUCGAAAGGCUCAACUCGUUGACGGCCCUUCGGAGAUCGUGCGCGCCGCAGGUUCGCGUCUCGGCGAUUGGAAGAUCGUCGCCGAACCCUUUCUGAAUUUUGACCUCGGAUCAGGCGAGACUACCCGCUGAAUUUAAGCAUAUUAAUAAGCGGAGGAAAAGAAACUAACAAGGAUUCCCCUAGUAACGGCGAGUGAAGCGGGAAUAGCUCAAACUUAAAAUCUCCGUCGCUUGCGGCGGCGAAUUGUAGUCUCGAGAAGCGUUCUCAGAGCGGAUACGCCGCGCUUAAGUCGCUUUGGCACAGCGCACCGUAGAGGGUGACAGUCCCGUACACGGCGCGGCG